rnacentral:rRNA from 1 species
GCGAGCGGCGGACGGGUGAGUAAUGUCUGGGAAACUGCCUGAUGGAGGGGGAUAACUACUGGAAACGGUAGCUAAUACCGCAUGACCUCGAAAGAGCAAAGUGGGGGAUCUUCGGACCUCACGCCAUCGGAUGUGCCCAGAUGGGAUUAGCUAGUAGGUGAGGUAAUGGCUCACCUAGGCGACGAUCCCUAGCUGGUCUGAGAGGAUGACCAGCCACACUGGAACUGAGACACGGUCCAGACUCCUACGGGAGGCAGCAGUGGGGAAUAUUGCACAAUGGGCGCAAGCCUGAUGCAGCCAUGCCGCGUGUGUGAAGAAGGCCUUAGGGUUGUAAAGCACUUUCAGCGAGGAGGAAGGCAUCAUACUUAAUACGUGUGGUGAUUGACGUUACUCGCAGAAGAAGCACCGGCUAACUCCGUGCCAGCAGCCGCGGUAAUACGGAGGGUGCAAGCGUUAAUCGGAAUUACUGGGCGUAAAGCGCACGCAGGCGGUUUGUUAAGUCAGAUGUGAAAUCCCCGCGCUUAACGUGGGAACUGCAUUUGAAACUGGCAAGCUAGAGUCUUGUAGAGGGGGGUAGAAUUCCAGGUGUAGCGGUGAAAUGCGUAGAGAUCUGGAGGAAUACCGGUGGCGAAGGCGGCCCCCUGGACAAAGACUGACGCUCAGGU